rnacentral:rRNA from 1 species
UACAGAGGGGGCAAGCGUUGUUCGGAAUUACUGGGCGUAAAGGGCGCGUAGGCGGCCCGCUAAGUCGAACGUGAAAUCCCCGAGCUCAACUCGGGAACUGCGUCCGAUACUGGCGGGCUUGAAUCCGGGAGAGGGAUGCGGAAUUCCAGGUGUAGCGGUGAAAUGCGUAGAUAUCGAGAGGAACACCUGCGGCGAAGGCGGGUUGCUGGGCUGACACUGACGCUGAUGUGCGAAAGCUAGGGGAGCGAACGGG